AAGGACCUCUGCGGUUUUGGCAAAACAACAAACCACACUUCACCUGGAAAACACAGCCAGGACUCACUGUCAGAUGUCUGAAAAUGUACAGUACACGCCAGCAGGUCUCACCAUAGUCAACAUCAUUAAGGAUUUGGCUCU